rnacentral:misc_RNA from 1 species
GGAGGGAUCAUUGCUGGAACAAACGCCCUCACGGGCGCUACCCAGAAACCCUUUGUGAACUUAUUCUCAAAAACGUUGCCUCGGCAGUGACUGGCUUCUUUUCGAGGCCCCUUCUUUGCUUCAGAGAAGGAGCAGGUCGGCCGGUGGCCCCUUACUAAACUCUUGUUUUUACACUGUAUCUUCUGAGUACACAACUAUAAAUGAAUCA